UGUUGUUUUGUUUAGCAAUUUUAGAACCUUGUGAUUUUGUUUCUUUAACGCAUACUGGAUUUAUUUUUUGAAAAUGGUGAAGUUAAAAACAGAAGCAGGACUGAUUCAAUUUGUGUAUUGACACAAGAUGUUUUUGUCGACCUCAAAACAAUCUUAUUUUAAGUGUGUCCAUCAAGGCUGCUACUUCACAGAGACCCACAAAUAAAGCCAGAAUGUGUAGUGAGGUUGACAAGAUAAACAUUGUAUCUAAGAACCUGCAUUAAUUUAAGUUACUUGCCUUUUAGCAAUGAUUUCAAAAAUUAGAGUUUAGGAAGAUCUUAGAAUUUAUAUUUGUUUUUAUUUUUGACAUUGUUCAUUUUUGUUAUGGAAUAUUCAUGCGUACUAAAGAAUAUAUUUAAAGUAUAUAUAAAAUAUAUGGGAGAUAAUUAAAUGAAUAUCCCUAUGCCCACCACUCAUCUUAAAAAUAGAACAUAACCAGUACUUUUAAGCCCCUUUAUCAUUUUAUGUUUUAUAAUGCAUCAACAUUAUAGUAAAAUUGCAUGUGUAUAUAGUGUAAAAGAAGUAAGUACAUGUAUCUUGGGAUGCAUGUCCCCAUUUGCUGUCAGAGUGCAAAUUCAGAACACCCUAAAUACGAUGCUGGUUGCUCCUCAACAGGGCUGAGGUCUCAGUACGUGUUUCUGUAUUUUGGGUUUUGAUUCCUCCUGAUGUUACUGUUCAGGCACAUGGUUUACCCGGCUGUUACCUAUUCUCCUUGCCAAUCCAGCAGUCCUCCAAAAUUCUAAUCAAACAUGAUUUGGAAAAUGUUAUGUGACUUUUCUCAGUGAAAAAAAUUUAAACAAAUUAGAUCAAUACAAGUUUGAUUAUAAAGUUAUUUUGACUUUGAAGAAAGAAUUGUAUAGAUCUUUUAAAAGGUGGAGUAAAUUUAUAAAUAUCCUUUGCAUUAACUAAUGCUAACAGUGUUAUUCAUCCACAUAUUUUGUUACCUUUAAAAUAAAUCUGUAACUCUCAUAGCCACAAAUAAUAAAAUGUAUGUUGAAAUCAUUUUGACAUAUAAAUCAUUCAUAUAGAAUUGUAGACAUAAAGGCAUCAAUUUAAAAAUUUGCUGCAUAAUUUGAUGUGGUGAACAUAGUAUCAUUUUUUAUAAUUAUUCUUUUUAAAUAGAUUAUGAAAAAUUAAGGAUCAGAGUAUCAAAGUUUAGUGUUCCCCAAAACAUUAAAGCAUUUUAAGUUAAGAUUUUAACAUUUAAACGUUUGAGUGGUUAGUGUUAAAAUGUGCUCUGGAGGUUUUCAACUCAGAUCUAUAUGAUGAUAUCAUCUUGUGAAUUCAAAUGUAAUCAGAUACUUCACAUUAUGUUUUUUUUUUCAUAUCUUAGUCAAUAGUUUAAAGUUCAUAUGUCAGUUAUCUCACAUUUACCAAUUUCUUAUUAUUUAAAAACACUUUUAGGUUUCAAAAGUUUCAAGAUGAAUUUAUGCCUUUUUCUGACUUUGUGUCUAAAUUGAGAAUAUUAGACCAAACUAUUGUUUAAUGAAUGCUGAUAUUCAUAGAUAUUGUUUUUAUUAUUUAAAAAAAUAAGUAACCAAGACUUAGAGAUUAGUUAAAAUAGUGGAACCCGAAAGAUCACAUGAAAUGUAUGCUAAGAAUGGAUUUUCUCAUUAGAAUUUGGUGAUUUUCGCUAUCAAUAUAUUCUCUCCCACUGGAAUAUAAAGUUGAUGAAAGAAGAAUCCAUAUCUUUUUUUCUUACUGUUGCCUUGCCUGUGCCCACUGUGGUUUCAGGCACACAAGGCACUCAGUAAAUUAGCAAAAAAUGAAUACUUCACACUGAUCAACAGAGAAUGAAUUAUUAGUAUCAAUCCCUGCCAGUAGAGAGGUGUCUGGUUUCAAAUCUCUGCUCUGCCACAUCCAGUUUGGAUGAGCGAGGGACAGAGGUACAGAUCUCUGUACCCUAAUUUCUAGAAUACUACUACUCAACUAACAAAAUAUUCUGAGGUUUAAUUAAGUUGAUAUAUACAAAGUAUCAAAGAUAGCCCCUAACAUGGUAAGUCUCAAGUUUAAGCUCUUAUUAAACACAGUCUUUCUCAAACUUUUCCAUCCCUGUAGCCCUUUUGCUAUUAAAAAAUAUUAAGGAUAUCAAAAAAUAUUUUAUAUUGGCUAUAGAAAUUGAUAUUCACCACUUUAGAAAUUAAAGUGGAACCUUCAAAAACACAACACACAAACACAUGUUAUUAGCUAUCAGAGUCAUGGUAUUAUCAUGCCAUAUACCUUCUGAAAGUCUUAACUGAACACUUGUAAGCAAAUGAGAGUUAAAAAGUCAGAUAACAUCUUCAUAUUAUAUGAAAAUGAUUUUGAACUUGCAGACUCUAUGAAAAGUUCUUGAGGACUCUCAGGGUUUCCCAGACUACUCUUUGAGAACCACUGAGUCAGCACAAGAUUCUAUGCUAAGAAUUAAGCAGGCACAGAAACACAUAGUUCAUAAUCUUUAUUGAAAGUUUAUUGAAAGAGAGGGGCAGGUACACAUAUUCUGGCCACACAGUUAAGCAUUGGUGGAAUGCAUGGUCCAAUGUUAUCACCAUGUCAGGGCACAGUGACUCGCUGUGCCAGAAAGCAGGGCAGAACGGAAGAUGCAGCCUAAAAGAAGUCACUUGAGCACUGUGUAAAGAGAAAUUUGACCAUCCCUUCCAUUGCACAUACAUUCUAAAAUCCCCAUCUAUGCAGUAUCAAAUCUACUUUUUAGAGUUUUUAAACCGUGGUAUUCUGAUUAUAACCUUAGCAAAUUACUUUUAAAAUGUAUUGCCCAUGAAAUAUUAACCAUAAUGUCAUUUAUGGAAAGAUUCAAGAAUGACCCUGACAAUAUACAAAAAUGUAUAAAUAAAUAUUCACAAAUUGUGAUUCAUCAUUCACCUGAGUUCAUUUUUCUCAUUAGGGUUCUGUUUCUGAAGCUAAGGGAAAAACUGAUCCUAAGACAAACAGAGAAUUAGGCCCAUGGGAUACAUUGAUUAAAUGGAAAGAAUUUCAUAACAUAUGUGUAUAAUUUUUUCUUUCUCACGACUAGAACAACUCCAUUAUUUUCCUUUCUUAAAUUGUGUAUACAAAGCAGAUUAAAAACAAAAAAACACAAAUUUUUUAAAUACUUGAACUCAUCUUUUCUCUAUUGUGUGAUAAUAGGGUGUAAUUCAGAAAUUAGUAUUUGAAAGUUGUUUUCUUCUGUUUUUUUUUUUUUUUUUUUUUUUUUUUUUAACCUUUUAAAGUUCCCUCAGGGAGCAAUUCAGCAGGUGAUAAAUUAGAGAAUGUGUAUAAUCUUCUUUGUUCAGAAAGUAUCUAUUAGACCAGAGCUGUUUUUACUGUUUUUCAGUACAGGAGCUACCUCUUGUUAGCAUAGGUAUAUGAAAUUAAGAUAUAAAUUGUCAAAGGGAGAUAGACAGACAAACUAGAGAAAGGCCAAUCUGAAAAAACUUUAUAUUUCUUAUUGUGGCAAGAUAUGUUUUGCUUUCCUAUGAAUUACUACUCUAGCGAUCUAGUCCCUUGCCAUUAACAAGAAGGAAUGGUAUUUUCCAUCCUGCCUUAAAGAUUGCAGCUGUUGAUUGUUUCAGAGUAAGCAAAUUAUAUUAGUUUGACAUUAUAUGUUAUAUGAUAUUUGCAACUGUAUCAUUUAUUGGAAUAUUGAUUUUCAUUGUUUCAUAGGCAUUUGAUGAUUUUAUAAAAUCUGCAUAGCUACUAAAAAUAUAAGACUCUGGGAAAAAAUGACAGUCGUGAAUCACCAGUUUGGAAAACUAGAAGUGAUAAAUACAAAAAUUCUAUAUAAGAGGGUGUUUAAAAGACAUGCAACAUGUAUUUGUUCCCAAAGAGACUGUCAGAAAGGUUCAGCUGAGUUUGCCUUAAAGAGCAUGGAAGAAUUGUUUAGUAUUAUACAGGAAGUGUCUGCAAUUAGAUAAUGAUAGUGUUUUUUAAAGUACUUGCAGAAAGUUUGAUUUUUCUAAAAUAGGCUAGCUACUUUGUAGUCUUAAACUAUGCAAUGUGUUUACUACAUACUUUAUGAAAAUUAACACAGAUAAUAUGGCUCAUUUUUCCUGAAUUACAGUGGACUAUAAAUUCAUGAUAUUUAACUGUGAUUACAUGAAGCUUUCUAUUAAAUUGAUAUGAGAGAUAAAGCAUUUAAUAUGUAUUAAGGUACUUUAAAAAAUACAUGAGGUAUGUAUUUUGGUUCUGAUUUCACAUACCAGAAAAAAAAAAAAAAAAAAGACACAAAGGGACC